UGGUGGGGUGACUUGUCUGCUUAAUUGCGAUAACGAACGAGACCUUAACCUGCUAAAUAGCCCGCAUUGCUCCGGCAGUGCGCUGGCUUCUUAGAGGGACUUUCGGGCUCAAGCCCGAAGGAAGUUUGAGGCAAUAACA
rnacentral:rRNA from 1 species